AUGACUUACUUUAAGAAGGUUAUAUUGAACAUGACUUUGCUGUUUGUGAUUAUCUUUUCAAUGAAAGUGGCAUCAACGGCAAGGGUACUACUAUGGAAAAUUGAACCUCAUCACAAAACAUAUGGACGCCUAGGUUAUAUUAUUGAUGAUGAUCCACAUGGCCAUAACUUCAGUCCUCCUCCUCCACGUGACCACAACUUCAUUCCUCUUCCUCCUUCUCCUCUAUCUCCUCCUCCAUGA